CGGGUUGUAAAGCACUUUCAGUAGGGAGGAAGGUAGUGUAGUUAACACCUGCAUUAUUUGACGUUACCUACAGAAGAAGCACCGGCUAACUCCGUGCCAGCAGCCGCGGUAAUACGGAGGGUGCGAGCGUUAAUCGGAAUUACUGGGCGUAAAGACGCAUGCAGGCGGCCUGUUAAGUCAGAUGUGAAAGACCCGGGGCGUUAACCUCGGAAUUGCAUUUGAAACUAGGCAGGCUAGAGUCUUGUAGAGGGGGGUAGGAAGUUUCAGGUGUAGCGGUGAAAUAGCGUAGAGAUCUGAAGGAAUACCAGUGGCGAAGGCGGCCCCCUCGGACAAAGACUGACGCUCAGAUGCGAAAGCGUGGGGAGCAAACAGGAUUAGAUACCCUGGUAG
rnacentral:rRNA from 1 species